AGGCCAGUGGAGCCAAUGCUGCAGAAGAAGAUGAAUCUGAGAAAUCAAUGUCUGAGGUGAAUGAUGAUGAGGAUGGAGAUGAGGGCAGCGAAGAGGUUAGCUUUCUUAAGGAGUUUAGUUAAAUUAAACAUCUUAAAGUUGGAACUGUUUUUUCAUUUCAUUUUUCCCCCUCCAAUUUUGCAGGACGAUGACGAGUGAAGAUGUAGAUGAUAGUAACGUCAUUUAGGGUGUCAGUGUAUUUGAUCUUUCCAUAAUAAUGGUUUGAUCAUUUCCUGUUAUUUUGUUUUUUAUAUCAUGAAAAUAUGUUAGUAUCUCCCUGUUAUUUUGUUUUUCAUAUCAUGAAAAUAUGUUAGUAUCUCCCUGUUAUUUUGUUUGUGCAUUCAGUAACGAAGGGUUGUAAUGGGAGAUCAUCUGCCUUGUACCUUACAAUGUUAGUUAUUCCAAUCCAACUGUGUUUUUUUAACUUUUUAACUGAGAUAACAAGAUCACUCCACACAUCAUGUGACAAUAUCAAAACCUUCACUUAUGUAUUACAUUUUCCAAUCAAGCUCAGUUGGGCACCCUUAACAGAGUUCUCUCUUUAAUUUCUCCAGUGGUUGUGUUUUUAUAUGUUUUUAGCCGUGUCCUCUUCAUGGUUAUUUGUAGGCCACUCUUUUAUGCAUCUCUGAGAUAGUUUCUUAUUUGUUUGCAGCAGCUUAUUAUGUCUCUGAAUUUAUGUUCAUUCUCUUAACUGAAGAGAAGGCAAUUAGUUGAUUAGUAGUUGGAAUGAGAGUGUCUUGCUGGCUUGGCUUGUAUGGUGUUUCUGGCUAGGAAGGGGUUUUGGAGAGGGAUAUUUCGGUAUAAUUUUUCCAUAUAUUUGUUAGUAGUUGGUGGUGGUGGGCUUUGUGUCUACAUCGUAUUGGUUCUUCACAUUUUGGCUGAUAGACUCGUUUAUACAACAUUGCUGGAAAUCAUAACUAAUAAGCCAUUAUAGAAUCAGAUACUCAAUUAUAUGAAACUCUUCCACCGUGCUAGAGCUGGGAAUAGAAGCCUUCUCAUAUGCUUCGAAAGUCCAAACAUCAACCAGUGUCUUUUGAAAAUAUUUGGGAUGAACUUUUUUUUUAAAAAAGUAUUGAAUGUUCUUGUAGGACAAUAUAAAAUUGAGAGUUUGCUUUUUAUUUAAGCCAACUUUUGUUGGUUGAUCACAGGUUUCAUGCUUAUAUCUAACCCAAUUGUUUAUUGUUAAAAACAAAAAGAGAUUAUUAAUCAAAUACCGAAUACCAUUAUCAAAUGACGUUCAAUUCAUUUUCAAGAAAUUUGAUGAUCUGUGUAUCCAAUGACUGGGUCACGAGUGUAGAAAGUACUUCUAUCAUACCUUUUAGGCAAAUCAGGGUUAGCCAAGAACAACCUUCCAAAAGCAACAAAAUUAGCACCACCAUUUCUAAUCACUUCCACUGCUUCCUUCUUGUAUCCACCAGCCACAAGGGUCCCUUUAAACGAUUUUCUCAUCCCCAAUAAGCUUCUUUCUUUCCCCUCCCUUUUCUCAAACCGAGUUACCAUCCUUGGCUUAAUCAAGAACUUGCCUAGAGCUUGGGGAUUGGAGUCACUGCAGCCGUAAUCUGCAAAUGGCGACAGCUGCUGAUCUUUUCACACAGCUUCCACAACUUCUAAACAAAAUCUUGCAGCGCUUUUCUAAGCUUCCUCCAUAUUGAUAUCAUCCCUUGUGUGGUUGACUUGUCUUUAAGAAACUAAUUGAUUAAGUACCCAUUGGCUCCAUUGAUCUCAACUCCAUCGAAAACCUAAAUAUACAAGGAUUAAACUUGUUAUAUCAAUUAGGAUGUUUUUCUUUCAUUUUGUUAUAAUAAUAAAGAAUCAAGUAGUACGGAUGAUUAAUUGGUCUGCUGUUAUUAGCUUCUAUGACAUUCAUGACUGCAACCUUGUAAUCCUUGACCACUUUGACUAAUCGCUUUCACCGUUGGUGACAAAGGAGGGGGAUAUUCCACUACCAUGCUCCCAGUUAUUUAAAGCAGUAUUUGUAACUCUAUAUUCUAUGUAGCUUUUAGGUAUCUUUUAGUUGUGUAAAAUUAAGCAUAUAAAUAAGUUUUCUAUCUCUAAAUUUCUUAUUUUGUUAUUUACUUUUCAUUAAUAUUUUAAACAAGAAUGAAGCCAGGUUAAUUUUGAAAAUGAAAGGGUAAUUAGAAGUAAGUUUUGGUUGUAACAGACGAAUAUUCAAGAGAAAAUUUGAUGGUCUUUUUUGGAUGGAAUAAUUCUUGUUAAUGCAAAAGAUAAUACCAUAAUAGUUAGAAGGAAGAAUCAUGGUCAUAAUAUUUUAAUUAUAAGUAUCCAGUCAGGAUUUAAGCACAAUAAUAAAAUAAAAAUAAUAAUAACAAUACUUUAGUACAUUUCAAAUUGCAAAUGAUAAUCAAUUUUUUUUAAAAAAAAUCAAGGGGUAAUAAUGAUAAAAAAAUUCAUUAUCCUCCCAAAUCUAGUACAGAAGUGAAUCUAACCUAAGUGCAUCUUGGACCAUCACACUCUCGAUCCGCCAUUGUAACAAAAAAAAAAAAAAAAAAAAUCCUCAUUGUAAACUCACGAUGAUAUGCACAAUAACAAAAUUUUCAAGUUAACUGGAGAACACUUCUAUAAUCUUUAAAAAAGUACUCUUGUUUUUUUUUUUUUUUUUGUCAAUAAUGGACUCUGAUUCAUAAUUAAACUUGAAAUAAUCAUCACAAAAAUGCAAAUGAAAUGAUUAGGUUCACUUUUCAUAUCACUUCCCAGAUUGAUGAUUGAUUAUGGUUAUAUUUAUUAAAGAUCAAAAAUAAUAUUCCAAGUGCUAAAAAAGAUAAGAAUAUUUUUUAAAAAUUUGCAAUAAAAUUUAGAAGGAAAAAAACAGAUAUGGUAUUGAGGUGAUCGUCAUAAAGUUAGGUACACGUACCCUUUUUUGUGGAAAUCCAAUUUCCCUUCUCCUGGUUUUCAGUAAUCGUCUACGGGCAGGUCUACGAUCGACUAGUUCAAAAGAGAGAGAGAGAGAGAGAGAGAGAGAGAGAGGAUAAUGGUUAUUUAAAUAAUAUGGUUACCACUAAGCCAAGCCAGUCCACACCUCCACCGUUAAAUGAUAAAUAUGGCAUUAACUUUACCCGAAAAGUUAUUUUGUUUCUUUGAUUUCAUUUUCCAGAAGAGGUUGAAUUCUCAGUCGGUGGCUUCUGCAGAAAAAAUGACCAAAAUUUUUAAUUUGUUGUCUAAAUCUAAACUAAACCCUAAGAAAUAAAAACAACGUUGCAUGGAAUUGGGAAUAUUCAAUAAAGGAAGUUUGACGACACCAAACCAAAGACGACCGUAGCUAUUGGUCCGUGGAUUCCACGCGCUUUACCUGCCAGUAGGGGAGGGUUAAUGUUAAAGAGGAAGACAUUGCCGUCGUGGCAAAGCAAGAGAAAAGACAAACAGACAAACGGAGAUAUUCUUCAUAAGACCCGCCGCGACCCGCGCAAUCAGUGUUAGAGUGCGCGUCUGACGUGGCAUUUUCUUUUUUAGGGUCCAAUUCAAUAAUUCUUGUUCUUCUUUGAGUGCUUUUCCCCCCCUUUUUUUUUUGGCUUUGCUUAGAGGAGAAAAAUGGAAAUGGCUAAAUGGGUUAGCUGAGAAUAGAGACGUAGAAACGAACCCAGAAGUUGCAGAAGCAGAGGGUGAUGGAGUGGCAGAAUCAGCAGCAACAGAAUCAAACAGAGCAAUUGCAAAUGCAGGUGGAGCAAUUGAGCAACGCCGAUGGAGUUGGUGGUCUCUACGUCAAGGUGAUGACCGAUGAGCAAAUGGAGCUUCUCAGGCAGCAGAUCUCUGUCUAUGCUUCCAUAUGUGAGCAGCUCGUGGAGAUGCACAAGGCAAUCACCGCCCAACAGGACCUUGCGGGUCUCUCUUUUCUUAUCUUUUUGCAUUACUCUUCUCAUUGAUAUUCUGUUUCAUCUCCAUUUGUUUGGACCUACAACAAUAGUUUUUUCUGUUAGAUCUACUUGUCGUAUAGGAAGUGAACUUUAAGACUAAAUCUGGGUUUUAGAAAGUAUCCUCCUCUAGUUCUGUUUCUGUUAAUUGAUUAAACUUUAAUAUUACCUGUUCCGUUUGCUGUAAACUAUAAUUGUAGGAAUAAGCGGGACCCUUGCUCUUUGUUUGUUUCAUCAUCAGAACCAUCUACUUAUCUUUCCUGUUUCUCAAUGCCUGGAGAAAUGGACUCCUUUGGAAAAUGAAUUUUGCUCCUUAAACAGCUUUUAUGCUUACUGGUUUCCAGGAAUGAGGCUUGGGAAUCUUUACUGUGAUCCAAUAAUGGCAUCUGCUGCUGGUCACAAGAUAACUGCUAGGCAGAGGUGGACGCCUACACCUGUACAGCUUCAAAUUCUUGAGCAGAUCUUUGAUGAGGGCAAUGGGACCCCUAGCAAGCAGAAGAUCAAGGAUAUAACUCUACAGCUGACACAACAUGGUCAAAUUUCAGAAGCAAACGUCUAUAAUUGGUUUCAAAAUAGAAGGGCUCGUUCAAAAAGAAAGCAAGCAAACUCAUUACCAAAUAAUGCAGACUCAGAACCAGAGACAGAAGUUGAUUCUCCAAAGGAGAAAAAGACUAAACCAGAAGCCUUCCAAACUUAUGAACAUUUGGUUCCGAAGUCCGGCAAUAUGUACUCCCAGAGAACUGAUUUAAGUACUGAAAUACUUUCCUUUGAUGCGCAGUCGAAUAAAGGGGAGCCCAUGUUUCAGUCUUUCGGAUCUGGUCAUACCAGUCAGAUGACUCCAAUACAAAAUCAUAGUAUGUCACUCUGUUUUUUCAAGAGCUAUACAUUUGAACAUUUCUUGAAUUUUCUUCAUCGGAAAUUUCCAUAAUGCAGCAAUUAUAUAUGAGUAUGCUCAAUCAAACAUAUAUCAUUUGUUGGUGUCUAAUUCAACUUGUCAAUGUGCAGGAAAUAAUAUGUCGAAUGAUAAAAUGAACGUACCAGACUACUCUCCAUACACUCCUUGUGAAGGAUAUCACUUGGUCGAGUGACUGCUUGCCUUGAAGCUCAUCCUGGAGGAAUGUGCGAACUGACACAGUACAUAUUACACUGCAUGUAUAAGGAAAUUAAAUUUUGAAAAUGCUUGUAAGGCAUUUUAUAUACGUGGUUAUGAACUAUAUAGCUUAUAGUACUGCUUGAAACCAAAUUUUGAAGGAUUUGAUUAAAUACGUUACGUUACGUUUUGGUACGAAAGUGUUGUUUUCCUGCAAUUUUCGUUAUUUGCUUGAUUCAGCUUGCAUGAUAAUUAAUUUUGCACCUGAGACGUAACAGACUGUCGACUCACCUAAUCCCUGCAAGUGGAUCAUAAACAAAAUGGUAAAAAUCAUAACUAAUGAAUUUACAACGGAAACCAACCUUGAAUUUGACUCCUCUCCCUGAGAAGUUUCAUCUCUAGUCCAAGUGCUGCACAAAAGAUGUAGAACUCAAAACAGACCUGUAGUUGCGUCUGAUGAAUUAACUAGCCAAAUGGCUAGAAAGUCGUACAUGUUGCAACUUGCAACUUCAUCCGGAAUAAUGAUCAAUAUUCAUGGCAAGUUUUAUUUUUUCUUGAAUGAUAAAAACAUUUACGAGAGACUAUGAAGUUAAACCCAUAACACUAAAUUCAGAAAAUUUCCACUUUGAGAUCAACAAUCAUACCCUCGAUAAGGCAUGGGAAUUGUCUAACAUUAUUACUAGAGGGGAUCUACAAUGCUGUCCUAUCCAAAACAGUGACAGCCUGACAAAACAAUCAUGCAGAAACUAUACAGAGGGCUUCACAACCCGGAAACAAAUGAUUAAGAUAAAUAUGUAGUCAACUUUACAACUGUAGUAUAAAUGGACAUAGAUUAAGAGGUUCUUUUGUCUAGACACACACAAAAGCUUCCACCUUAGCUGCAUUCUUUGAAUGGUGAAUUUGACCGAUAGAAAUUGCCAGAUCUCCCAUUAUAUCACCACGUAAACAUCCAGGCGAUCUUAUUAGCCUGGACUGCAGCCCAAAACAGUGGUUAAAUUAAGCCAAGCAGAAUGCCUCUAGAUGAGUACUUCAUGAAGAUCCUUUCCUUCUGACUUUCAAUUUAGUAGACCUCCAGCCGCCUGAGGUUAGCGGGCUAGGGGAGUAUGAAAAAUUUUCAAUGGGUUCCAUGACGGCAUACUUACUCUUCGCUGAGCUACUAACGGGUGAUACUUCCUGCAAUAAAAUUUUGGAAUCAUAGUCAGCCAUCGUACUGAUUUUAAUUCAUGCCGCAGUAACUAGUUAAUUAACUUUAAUUUCUCAUUAUAUCACAAUCGUUUACCUUGUUUAUUGAAGCCUUUCCUGUAUCAGCUUUGAGGUCUUGGAUCUCCAAACAAUCCACGAAAAACAUCACCUGCAAAAUGAGGAGACGAGAAAUGUAACCAAAAAAACUGUGGAUAAAACUGUCAUGAUAAAGUUUGAGAUGUUGAAACACAAAAAAUUCAUAGUCAUCUUCACAAAAUAUUAGAACUGAAUAACACGUACUUUAUUAAGUAAUGGAAUAUUCGAUGCAUCGGUUGCCAUGAUCUGUACACCAAUGCAAUUGUCACUGUAACAGAAGGGGCAAAAGACAUAAUUGUAUACACAACCAUCCUCCUCACUCCAUAUACCACGUCCUGAAUUUUUCGAAGACCUAACUAGGAGCCUCUGGUUAACAAACAAGAUGUCUGUAAUAAUAAGCUGUAUACUUGCUGACGAAUUGGCAGUUUGAGCUUUAAACCUUUCCUCAUAUAUUGAUAUUAAGUGUGUUUUUGAUGAUACCGUAAAUGAGCAUGUUAUGUUUAAAUGGUUCUCUGGGCGACCGAGUGGGCUUCUACAAAGUGCACAAGAUAGAUGCAACUUUUUGUCCAUUGGAAGGCCAGAAGACAGAUAAACAGGACUAGUAUCAUUUAGCUUGGGCAUUUGUGUGACAUUUAAACCGUUAGACUUCUUUUCCGUGAGAAGAAUUUCAUAAUUAGUAUCUUUUGGGCUAGUCAAAUUUCUGCUGAUUAUUGAGCUUCUGUCCACACUGUUACAUUCGGGAUUUUUGGUUUUGGGAUCAGUAAGAAACUCUUCUUGAGCAAGUUUCGUAAUAGUUAUACCCAUGGACUUCCUUCUUUUCUGGGUAUGAGAAUUUACACUCAUAUUCAAAGAAGAUUCUGUAUCUUGUGCAAAGCUGUAGGCAUUCACAGAAACAUUUCUUUCAGGAGUAUUCAGCAUUGAAGUUUCAGAUGUAAGAGGAGAUCUUGUUGAUUUGAUCAGAGGUAAUGACUGAUGUGAUAAUUGAUCAGAAAGCUCAGAAUAUGCCUCAAUUACAGUUGAAGUCGAUCUUUCAUCUUUGGAUUCUCUGGGACUAGUGGCGCCAACAAUAUCAACACAAGGAGUCUCCUGAACAAUUGGGGAAUCUGGAACUUCAAGAACGGUAUUCAUAGACAGAAACUCAUGGUUCCUGCAAUAUGCAGUUGUUCAAGACCAUUGCAAAUGAAAAAUGAAUACUGAUUGCUGAGUAGGGAGGUAAUAAGAACACCAAAUUAUAAAGGCAUGAUAACUAAUCAACCUUCUGACUACAGUUCCUGUACAAACGUUGUUAGUGUUAAAUCAAAUUAUGCACCAACAUGGAAAAGCUAAUGAAUUUUCAGCUCUUCGUAGGCCAUGCCAAAAAAACACUUUAGCAAAUGGAGUUCAUAUUUACCUCGUUUCUGUUUCAACACUGCACUCCAGAUCAAUUAUACAGUUUUUCACAUCUUCAUGAGCCUGAAAUAAAGCUUGUCAUCAAUAUCAACUAGAAAUUUCGAUUGAAAAGAACAGGUAUGAUACUUUAUCAUUUUAGUACUAACUUUCUGCCCACGAUGAUUAAACUUGUCGAAUUUCCCUAUCUUCAUUCUUCUACGACUACUUGGGCAGGUAGAAGUAAUAUGCUCCUCAUUCUCAGAAUUUGGCAACUCACUUUCUUUAUUGUUGCUAAUCCGCUCCUAAAAUGAAACCCAACAAUAAUGUACCGUGAUUUAUUGCCUGACCAUAAGUAUGUAAAGGAAGAAAUUAACACAGAAGAAGCAAGGACAAUAUGUUCCAGACCUUAAUGUGGCUGAAAAAGGAUUUCAGCUCCUCCAUAGACUGUUCAAAGUUAUCAAAUUGUUUAAUGGAUUUUCUUAGCCACUUAGAAAUGUAAGUCCUGUUCCUCUCUUCCUGGAAACGCUCAUCUAUUUGCCCAAAAUAAAAGAAAGGGUGAAGAGCUAUGGGAGAUUUGUGUUAAGAAAUGAGUCUACAGUGGAAAGUACUCUUUUAAGAAAUAACAAGGAAAUUUUAGAUUUAUCAACAUGAAUAUAAGAAAUACAAUAUUGAAACCAUAGAACUAGUUAAAAUGUUACGGCCAAGGAAUGACAGUGAUAGACCCCCGAUAUUAUAUCAGUAAAGUAGGAGAGAGAAAGAAGUAACACGUGUGUGUAACACGUGAGGGAUAAAAUGAGGUUUAGAAGUUAGUAUAAAUAAAGGCCAAUAGAGGGGCGGGAAAGUUAGUUAAGAUUUGAGUAAGGAGAGAGACUUUCACUGUUCUUCCUUGAAAGAGAGGUUAACAAUAGAAGUGAGGAGAGACUGUAAUCAGAUUCUAUUUCCAUUCACUAUCAAUAAUAUUACAUUCAUAUUACUACCUAUGAUUUCCAUCAGGCAGCUUCCAAGCAAGUUUUGGAGGUCUUGUGUUCGAGUUAAAUGGCUUGAUUUCUUCCUCUAACCAGCACAAACAAUCAUGCAUACAGCCUGACCAGUGAAGCUCGUAUUUUUAAUAGACAAUAGAAGAAGUGAAAUUAAAGAAUUAUUACCUAAUAGCAUAAUGGCACCAUAGUCAAAUUUGUGUCGAAUACAACGUCCUACAGAAAGAAAUUGUUACAAAUUAUAGCAAGGUUAUUUGCAUGAUGCCACUCCACAUGAGCACCAAGAAAAUGAAAAUAAAUAACAGCUACAAGCUAUACCUGCAGCUUGAUUUAGAGCUCGAAAGGCCUGUUGACAAUACCACUCGUUUCCACUUAAAAGGUUUUUGGACAUUUUAUAUGCGUCAUUGAACUUUUUCUUCAAUGCAACUUGAAUAUCAUUUCUGAAAGGAAUUAUAAACAAAUAAUCAAAAUAUUGUAUGGUAUAUUUUCUUUCCAAAAAAAAUAAGUUAAGGAUAAAGUUCUUACACAUUUGGAAAUGGAAUACCAACUAUUAUCUGAAUAUGUUAGUUAAGAAUUUCUAUAAAUAUAAAUAAAAAGCAAAUGUUCAACUUCACUGACACUGACUUCAUGACUUACAAGUCAAAUUCAUUCAUAAUAUGACAACGGACCCAAGGCAAUCUCCAACACUAGGAAAGAUAGAUGAUGCUUAAAAGAGGAAAGGAUACAACCACUCUAGCAUUAUCAUCAGAAAAGUCUAUUCCUUCUGAAACCUGCAAGUACAACAAAGCAAUUUAGGAUAUGUAAAUCACAUUAUAACAUCAAUUCAUGGAUCUUUUUAUUUUAAGAUCUAAUUAGAUAUUUAAACGUCUUAGUUUAAUUUUCAAGAACCAAGCUGAGGGUCAUACUGAAACUGGCGACUUCUUCUUAUUGAAGAUCAUUGCUAAAUGAAGUUCUUACAUAUUUCUUAACAAGAGGAAAAGAAAAGAAAAACAUAUGAUGCGUGCAAAACUGCAAGCUGCAUAUAAACAUUCGUAGUUGUUUUGAGCCGUCAGGACAACAAGGUUUAUCAUUGCCAUUAAGAAACAUGGAAAAGCGGUUGAACAUCAAGUAAUCAAAAGGAACACACCUUUCCUCGAAAAACUGCAAGGAGUGCUGCACCCUCCUUGGGAUUUUCACAGCCAACCACAUACGAGUCAUUGGGUUUGACCUUCUUGCCUCGACUCUUUUUCCCAAUUGCAAAGUUAUCACCAAGACGUAUAGUAUCAUAAUAACCUUUCAAUAUGGAAUCAAAAUCCUCUUGAGCUCCUCCUCUUGGCUCUGUACAAAACCAUUGAAAAGAUUUGAAUUCUUAAUGCAACAUGCAGAAAGAAAAAGAAAAAUUAAUAAAUAUAGGUACGCAAGAAACAUUAUAUAAUUCAACUCGUCUCGAAUGACAAAAUACCAGCAAAAUAUAUAUACACUAGCCUAAAAUAAGUUUUCCAGUGCGUAUCUUACCAACAAAAAGGGACUUCCUUGCAUUCAGUCGAGACCAUUGGCCAGUUUCAGACCAACGAUUUUGGAGUUUCUCCAUCAGCUUAUAACUGGGGAAGAACACAAGACAGCCACCAGGAGCGAUGAAAAAUAUCUCCUCUAAUGAUUUUCCUAGAGCAUCCUUUAAGAAAAUGGCCAGUAUAAGACAAGAAAAACCUAACAUAUAAAUUUACAUCGAUCACGAAGUUCCAAAAAUACCUGGAAUGCAUAUCCAUCAGCUGUUUUAUAACUUCCAUUCAGCGGAUAGUUUCCUGGACCAGUUGAUAUAACAGCUGGCCACACCUGCAGUACAAUUGUUGAUAGGUCAAAAUUUAACAGUUGCUGGAAUGGAAAAACCAGAAAUAAGAAAAGUCCACUUGAACCUGAGAUUCCACAUCAAUCACGUGAGGAGCUUCCAGUGAAGUUCCAAACUGAACUCCUAGUUCAGAUGAAAAGGAAUUCAUCGGUGACAGGGUCCUAAUUAUUUGAAAUCAGAAAUGAUUAAUUGUCUUCUUCGGCACAUAUAUAAUAUACCUUACCAAAAGAAAAUGUAGGAAAGAGAGAAAGCACUGUAAAAUUUAAAGAAGCAUCUAAAUUUUCAUACUUUCAAGCGUCAACUCAAUAUAGUCUAGAAAUCUGCUAAACAACCAACUUAUAGUCAAUCUAACAACUCUAAUCAUUGAGAAACUGCAGGUUUUAUUCUUCCAAAAGAAGAGGAUAUGUUAAAAUUGAAUUUAACAUGGCUGAAGAGCAUGGCUGUAGAAGCCAAGAAUGAAGAUAUUUUAUAGACUGCAUAAACUAUAUGAUACAUCAUAUUCCACUUUUCAAGUUUAUGUGCUCACCCAGAUGUCAAAAUAACCGAUAAGGAAAGAUCACUAAUGUCUCUAAAUACAACAGCUGGAUUCAAGCACCACAAACUUAAAGUAACCGUCCAUUCAGCAUAAGCUUUUCCUGAAAUAAAAUACAAAUAUAAUUUUGUAAAAAAAAAUUGUUUGUACAAAUAAACAAAAAAAAAAAAACUAAAACCAUUUCAAACUAAAAAAAAGGUGACAAGAGUUUUCUUUCUUAUUCUCAAGGUAUAAGAUCCAGUGAAAACUGUCUUCUCUUGAAAAGCCUAAUAGCAAGUCAGUUAUAGUCUCCAGAUAACAUCAGACAAACUAAUUAAAAAAAGGUAACAGAACUAUAACCAAUGGCUGAAAGUUAUGACAAGCUGUGAAUUAAGAAGACUGAGCAACUGAUUACCAGGAUCUCUUUUAAUGUAGCGUUGUAAUGCAAGCUGGUAGUCAGACAUGUGGCAACCAUUUCUUGAGAAGAAAUAUGUCAGUGAAGAGAAUAAUCCUGCAUCGUAUAAAUUGGUCAACGUCGAAAGUUUGAUAUAAAAAUAAAGCAAAUGUUGCACAUAGUAGUCUCUUACCUUCCAGUGUUAUCACUGACAGGCCACUCAAAUGUGCAUCAUCUGACUCGGUAUCUGAAGCUGCUUUAAUAGCCUUAAACAAGCAUACAGUGAAACUUCAAGGUAAUGAGAAUAAAAUGAAAGGUCCCCCAAAUAAUUCAAAGAACCCAACAGAAUCAGGAUACCUUUGUUGCACAUUCGAGCAAAAUGGGGAAGCAUUGUUGAGUUAUAUUAGCUUCUUGGAGCUCCCUUUGAGCAUGAUUUCCAGUCCAACUACAACAUUCAUAAACGUAGAAAUGGAAUAUCUCAUAGACCUAUGUUGUCAAACUGAUACCAACUACUAGAGAGGUCGAAUGCACCAUUUUUAGAAAAGAGUAAGUCAGACAUGCAUGUUUAUUGAAGGGCUCAAAGUGUGAAAAGAAACACAUUUAAUCUGAAAUCUAUACCCAAAAUGUUUUAAAUGCACAAUCUACACCAAGAAAUUCAGUUUAAAUCAAUUUCGUCCAUGGAUCAAAGAAUCUUGAAUGAGAAAAAGUGAAUUAUAUGAUAUUAUGUUCUAAAUACACCAAUAUAAUGCAAAGAAAAACUAUAUGCAACUAAGAAAUCAAAUGCUACAGCAAAACCAGUAAGAUUUUCUUUCUUCACUCACCAGGUGACAUAAUGCUGAAACUCGCGCUUUUGCAAUGUGGUCUUCCUCUGGUCAAUCCAACUUGUGAGAUCCUAAAAGUUCAGUUAGACUUCUAAAUAUCAAAAGAUCUUCUGAGAUGUUUGCAAAUAAUUCUAAUUAAUUAUACUAAUUACCUGUGUCAUUUCAUACAGAGGCUGGUAAACCAAAGAAUCAAUAGGACAUAGGUCCUCCAACUCCAUCUGCAAUUCUUUGAAAGAUGUGAAAUGCAAGCCAUGAGAAAAUAUUUUUCUCAACUCAUCAAACAAAAUAGUAUAAUUUCAGUGACUUACUAUUUAAAGUAUCCUCUUCAAUAUCCACACUACCACCAUGACGUGCAAUAUCCUCUAUAUUGCUGAAAAGUGAAAACAGAAUAAACUAAUUAAUUGUCUGCAUUUGCCACCUAUCUCAUGAACUUACCAUCAAACUGAGGUAAAAGGAAACACAUAAUGUAUGGAUGCUAGUACACAUACUGGGCUUCAUCAAAGAUCACGAUUGCACCCUUAAUAUCUACAUCCAUUGCUCCUCGAAUAACUGGAUUGAUAAUAUAGCUAUAUGGGCAAAACACCAGCUGCGCGUCGUCUGCCAUAGAGCGAGCUGCAUAAUAUGAACAACCUAAAGAGGAUAAAGAAAUUAAGUUAAAUAAGUGAUGACAACAUAAGACAGGUUAAACACCUAAAAGAUCAAGGAUUAACCUUUUACAGCUUCUCCAACUUUCACCAAAUCUUCAAUGUCAUGAACCUCAUGACAUCCUCCUUUCUGAAGAGUUGGAUGACAUUUAACCUUGUUUGCGUUUCUUUUAGAGAAAUGAAAAGUAUUUAUCUUCCUUUGUUGAUCGCCUUAAGUCAAGUAAUAAUUGAGAGAAAUAAAUUGAUGAAGAAAUGGGAUAAAGAUAACUCACUUAAAUUCACUGCAUCCUGCAAUUUGAUCCUUCAAAAGUAGUUUGCUGGUAGAGUACAACAAAUUUUACAGUGAAAAGGAGAAUAUAAAAUGAAUUAACUGGAAAAAGACAAAGAAAGAAAGAAAAAGGUGCCUUUAAGAGAAAUAUGCACCAUUCUUCAUCCAAAUUAUCUUUUCCUCGUACAUAAGGAUUUGUGCAUAGAUGUUUCCUUGAUGCCUGAUGAUAAGAAGGGGGUUAGUAAGAUAACAGUAAAGUAUAACCUAACAAGGACCACCCAGAAAUGUAUUGCAGCUGAACCAUAUCUGACAGGAGAGGAAGUCAGGGGAUUCUUACAACCCAAAACCAGCUAAUUCAACUUCUCAAAUUUCUUCAAUGCAUAAUCUCAUACAAUAUGUACACACACACACGUGUUAAAGCGGUGACAUACCAACACUGCCAUUGGCACUCGAUAGGCAGUUUUCCUAUACUCACGAAUCACCUGUGAUAUCUGUGAAUGUGUCCUCCUUGAAUAAGAAAACGUAAAGCAUUAGCAUCAAAUGUAGAUGACAAAAAUAAUUUUCCAAGCCCUUGUUUCAAAUUGCAGUAAGUUGAACUUACGAGGCGUAGUAUAUAGUCGGGGCUGUUUUUUUCUUCUGACUUUUGUUGUUUGGCCCUGGAAGAGACGACUCAGUAUCUGUAGACAGUAGAAAACCCAACAUAUUCCUCAGAAGAAGUAACUGGCCCAUAAAACACAAAAAGCAUAAAAAAUCAAAUAUAUGUUAUAAGAAAGAAAGAAAAAAGUGAGUAAGGUUAAUCUAUUGUCAGCUGAGGUUCUUCCAUCAGAAGAAAUUUCAGUACAAAUGACAAAGAGCCCCAUGUAAAAGAAAAGCUUCCGAUCAUCCGCAUUUCACAAUGGCUAUUUUUCAGUAAUCGUUUAAAAGAUGAUAUUCCAUGGUAAAUAGAAGAAAAACAAUUUGUUCCAACCUUAGUGUGCCCACGUAUUAUUUCACUCUUUCUCAACGUUAUCCGUCCAUAAAAAGAAAAGGCAAAAAGAAAAAACCAACCAUCCCAAGAUCAAUUAACCGUCCAAAGAGGUAGCGAUUUUAAGAUACUUAACACUUUUUGUUGCAAGCGAUGCGCAACGAAAUAUAUGUCGUCCUAAGCUAUUGCCCUAAAUAUAAUAUCCUCACGGUAUAAGCCUGAAGAGCUCGCAAGGGGAACCCAGUAACACAAAAAUAAAAAUGUCCAUGAACUUUAAACCAAUCUUUUCUAUGUCUCUACCUGACCACUCAAUUGAAUUCGUGCAUUCGAGAUGUUCGGAUAAUCAGGGUAAAGACAUGCAAACUUACUUGGCGUCUGCACUUCGGGAAUGAAUCCACCGCCAAAACCGAGAGGAUCUGUGGCAGCCUCUGGAGCAGCCUUCGUGUGACAGGGAUUAGCAUCCGGAUUCUUUAUCUUGUAAUUCUUCUGCCAAGCAAGACUAGAGCAGAGAAGUGAAAGUGACUUCCCGGUUCCAGUCGGAGAUUCCAGCAACGCGUGGCAAUGGCCCUCUCGCUGAGCUCGAUCAAGGGUGGAUAUAACUCUGCCCAUGAACGCAAGCUGCGAACCGUAUGGUCGGAAUGGAAAUUCCACUUGGAUGCCACCAAUCGGGUAAACAUUCUUCGUGAGCUGAUAAGUUGGAUUGGGCUUGGAUUUGGGGUUCGUCCCCCCUUUUGCAUAUACCAUUUUGGCAGUGUUGCACAGGACUUGCCGGGUGGGAAUAUUCGAACUCCUUGAGAGCUACCUAGCUUGGUAAACUACACGAUCGACGAUGGAGUUCUGUGAUGGGUUCGAUUUGGUGGUGGUUUCUUGGAAAGCUUUGGCGGGAAAAGUUAGGGUUUAUCGUACUUGAAAUUGGCGGUAAACAGUAUAAUUGGUUCACCUUGCAAUGAACGGUGAGGCUCUUGUUUGAAAAGACUCUUCUGUCCUUUGUGGCCAACGUCCGUAAAGGUUACCGUUUAGGCCGAAUUGAAAUCGUUUCUUUCUUUUUCUUUGGUAAUGCAACCGAUGAUUUGGUACCAUUUUUAAGAUAAUUAAUAUUUGGAAACAUUCUAUUUAAAAUAGUAAAAUAAAUUAAAAUAUUUACAAAUUAUCGGAAAAUUUUAGAUUUUAUUGGAUAAAAUUCGUUAUAGAUUAUAAAUAUUUUUUAAAAAAAUUAAAUAUUUAAUUAAGAUAUAUCUUUUAAUGUCUUAUUUUCAAUUAUACCUGUAAGCAAUCCAAUUUUCAAUCGAGUUUUUUCCUCCAUGAGGAGAAUAUCUCAAUUUUCUCGAUUUCAAUAAAAUUUAUAGAAAAAAUUGAUAGUUUAAGAAAUAGUACCAAAUUACUAUUUUUAUUUGAUGUGCUUGCAUUGACAUUUACACAUGUAUUUUGGGUAUAACAUAUAAGACUACUUUAUCGAUUUGUAGUGAAAAUUGGAAUAAUAAUGAAAUUUCAUUAGUAAAUCAAUUCCAAUAAACGGUGAAUCACAAACACAAUUCAUUGUUUUGGAUUGCUUUUACCUAAAAAGAUGAGUUUUAUCAAAUUUAAUAUUACCAUUGUGGUUUAGGUUAUGUUAUAUGGUUAUACAAAUCAUAACAGAAACGGUACCAAAAAAGAUUAAUUAUAAUAUAUAGAGUAUAGCUUGUGACAAUAAUUAAAAAGAUGAUACCUUUCAAAUAAAUAUAAAGCUUAUUCUAAUUAUAAUCAACACUAUGAUCAGAAUUUAAAAGAAAAUACAUACAGAAAUAUUGAUUAAAAGAUCAUAACGUGAUUUAUUGUUUGACCAUAGGCAUGUAAAGGAAGAAAAUAACACAGAACCAAGGAAAAAUGUGGCUGAAAAGGGAUUUCAGCUCCUCCAUAGACUGUUCAAAGUUAUCAAAUUGUUUAAUCGAUUUUCAUAGCCACUUUGAAAUGUACGAGAGAGAUCAUGAAGCUAAACCCAAAACACUAAAUUCAAAAAAUUUCCAGUUUGAGAUCAACAAUCAUACUCUCGAUAAGGCAUGGAAAUUGUGUUAACAUUAUUGAUAGAGGGAAUCUACAAUGCUGUCCUAGCUAUAACAACAUGAUAGCAUGACAAAACAACCAUGCAGAAACUAUACAGAGGGAUUCACAACCCGGAAACAAAAGAUCGAGAUAAAUAUGCAGUUAACUUUACAAUAUUAGUACAAAUGAUCAUAGAUUAAGAGAUUUUUUCGUCCAGACGCACACCGACUCUUCUACCUUAGCUGCAUUCUUUGAAUGGUGAGUUUGACCGAUAGAAAUUGCCAGAUCUCCCAUUAUAUCAUCAUGUAAACAUCCAGGCGAUCUUAUUAGCUUGGUCAGCAGCCCAGGACAGUGGUUAAAUUAAGCCAAGCAGAAUGCAUCUAGACGAGUACUUCAUGAAGUUCCUUUCCUUCUGACUUUCAAUUUAGUAGACCUCCAGCCGCCUGAGGUAAGUGGGCUAGCGGAGUAAGAAAACUUUUAAAUGGGUUCCAUGACAGGCAUACUUAUUCUUAGUUGAGCUACUAGCGGAUGAUACUUCCUGCAAUAAAAUUUGGAAAUCAAAGACAGCUAUCAUACUGAUUUUAGUUCAUGCCACAGUAACUAGUUAAUUAACCUUAAUUUCUCAUUAUAUCACAAUCGUUUACCUUGUUUAAUCAAGCCUUUCCUGUAGCAGCUUGGAGCUGAGGUCUUGGAGCCGAGGUCUUGGAGCUGAGGUCUUGGAUCUCCAAACACCCCACGAAAAACAUCACCUGCAAAAUGAGGAGACGAGAAAUGUAACCAAAAAGAAGUUGUGGAUAAAACUGUCGUGAUAAAGUAUGAGAUGUUGAAAAUAAAAAAAAAAAAUCCAUAUUCAUCUUCUUGAAAUAUUAGAACUGAAUAACAUGUACCUUAUAAAGUAACGGUAUAUUUGAUGCAUUAGUUGCCAUGAUCUGUACACCAAUACAAUUGUCACUGAAACAGAAGGGGCAAAAGACUUAAUUGUAUACACAACCAUCCUCCUCACUCCAUAUACCACAUGCUGAAUUUUUCGAAGACCUAACUAGGAGUCUCUGGUUAAUAAACAAGAUGUCUGUAAUAAUAAGCUGUAUACUUGCAGACGAAUUGGCAGUUUGAGCUUUAAACCUUUCCUUAUAUAUCGAUAUUAAGUGUGUUUUUGAUGAUACAGUAAAUGAGCACGUUAUGUUUAAGUGGUUCUCUGGGCGACCGAGUGGGUUUCUACAAAGUGCACAAGAUAGAUGCAACUUUUUGUCCUUCGAAGGCCAGGUGACAGAAAAACAGGAACAGUAUCAUUUAGCUUGGGCACUUGUGUGACAUUUAAACUGUUAAACUUCUUCUGUGAGAAGGAUUUCAUCACUAGUAUCUUUUGGGCUAGUCAAAUUUCCACUGAUUGCUGAGCUUCUGUCCACACUGUUACAUUCGUGAUUUUUGGUUUUGGGAUCAGUAACAAACUCUUCUUGAGAAAUAUCAACUGUACAGUUUUUCACAUCUUGGUGACCCUGAAAUAAAGCUUGUCGUCAAUACCAACUAGAGAUUUCGAUUGAAAAAAACAGGUAUUGUACUUCAUUAUUUUAGUACUAGCCUUCUGCCCACGAUAAUUAAACUUGUCAAAUUCCUCUAUCUUCGUUCUUCUACAACUACUUGGGCAGGUAGAAGUAAUAUGCUCCUCAUUCACAGAUUUUGGCAACUCACUUUCUGUCUUGUUGCUAAUGCGCUCCUAAAAUGAAACCCAACAAUAAUGUACCGUGAUUUAUUGCCUGACCAUAAGUAUGUAAAGGAAGAAAUUAACACAGAAGAAGCAAGGACAAUAUGUUCCAGACCUUAAUGUGGCUGAAAAAGGAUUUCAGCUCCUCCAUAGACUGUUCAAAGUUAUCAAAUUGUUUAAUGGAUUUUCUUAGCCACUUUGAAAUGUAAGUCCUGUUCCUCUCUUCCUGGAAACGCUCAUCUAUUUGCCCAAAACGAAAGAAAGGGUGAAAAGCUGUGGGAGAUUUGUGCAUUAAAUAACCUCAUGACUCUACCAUGGAAAAUACUCUUUUAAGAAUGACAAGGAAAUUUUAGAUUUAUCGACAUGAAUAUAGGAAAUACAAUAAUGAAACCAUAGAACUAGCUAAAAUGUUGUGGCCAAGGAAUGGCAGGUUCCAAGCAAGUUUUGGAGGACUUAUGUACGAGUUAAAUAGCUUGAUUUACCCAGCACAAACAAUCUUAUAGUUAAUAGGCAAUGGAACAAGUUAAAUUAAGGCAAUUAUUACCUAAUAGCACAAUGGCACCAUAGUCAAAUUUGUGUCGAAUACAUCGUCCUACACAAAGAAAUUGUUACAAAUUAUAGCAAGGUUAUUUGCAUGAUGCCACUCCACAUGAGCAACCAAGAAAAUGAAAAUAAAUGACAACAGCUACAAGCAAUACCUGCAGCUUGAUUUAGAGCUCGAAAGGCUUGUUGACAAUACCACUCAUUUCCACUUAAAAGGUUUUUGGACAUUUUAUAUUUGUCAUUGAACUUUUUCUUCAAUGCAACUUGAAUACCAUUUCUGAAAAGAAUUAUAAAUAAAUAAUCAAAAUAUUGUAUGGUAUAUUUUUUUUCCCCAAAAGUAAAGUAAGGAUAAAGUUCUUACAUAUCUGGAAAUGGAAUACCAACUAUUAUCUGAAUAUGUUCGUUAAGAAUUUCUCUAAAUAAAUAUUAAAUGUUCAACCUUACUGACACUGACUUCAUGACUUACAAGGCCAAUUCAUUCAUAUUAUGACAAUGGGCCUAAGGCAAUCCCCAACACAAGGAAAGGUAGAUGAUGCAUAAAAGAGGGAAGGAUACAACCACUCUAGCAUUAUCAUCAGAAAAGUCUAUUCCUUCUGAAACCUGCAAGCAAAACAAAGCAAUUUAGGAUAUGCAGAUCAUAUUAUAAAAUCAAUUUAUGGAUCUUUUUAUUUUAAGAUCUUAUUAGAUCAUUAAAUGUCUUUUUUUUUCAAGAACCAAGCUGAGAGUCAUACUGAAAUUGGCAACUUCCACCUAUUGAAUAAUUGUUAAAUGAAGUUCUUACAUAUUUCUUAACAAGAGGAAAAGAAAAGAAAAACAUAUGAUGCGUGCAAAACUGGAAGCUUCAUAUAAACAUUCAUAGUUGUUUUGUGCCGUCAGGACAACAAGGUUUUAUCAUUGCCAUUAAGAAACAUGGAAAAGUAGUUGAACUUCAAGUAAUCAAAACGAACACACCUUUCCUCGAAAAACUGCAAGGAGUGCUGCACCCUUGGGAUUUUCACAGCCAAAAACAUACGAUUCAUCGGGUUUGACCUUCUUCCCAACUGCAAAGUUAUCACCAAGACGUAUAGUAUCAUAAUAACCUUUCAAUAUGGAAUCAAAAUCUUCUUGAGCUCCUCCACAUGGCUCUGUACAAAACCAUUAAAAAGAUUUGAAUUCUUAAUGCAACACGUAGAGAAAAAAAGAAAAAUUAAUAAAUAUAGGUAUGCAAGAAACAUUAUAGAAUUCAACUCAUCUUGAAUGACAAAAUACCAACAAAAUAUAUAUACACUAGCCUAAAUAAGUUUUCCAGUGCGUAUCUUACCAACAAAAAGGGACUUCCUUGCAUUCAGUCGAGACCAUUGACCAGUUUCAGACCAACGAUUUCGGAGUUUCUCCAUCAGCUUAUAACUGGGGAAGAACACAAGACAGCCACCAGGAGCGAUGAAAAAUAUCUCCUCUAAUGAUUUUCCUAGAGCAUCCUUUAAGAAAAUGGCCAGUAUAAGACAAGAAAACCUAACAUAUAAGUUUAAAUCGAUUAUGAAGUUCCAAAAAUACCUGGAAUGCAUAUCCAUCAGCUGUUUUAUAACUUGCAUUCAGCGGAUAGUUUCCUGGACCAAUUGAUAUAAUAGCUGGCCACACCUGCAGUACAAUUGUUGAUAUAUAGGUCAAAAUUUAACAGUUGCUGGAAUGGAAAAACUAGAAAGUAAGAAAAGUCCAUUUGUACCUGAGAUUCCACAUCAAUCACGUGAGGAGCUUCCAGUGAAGUUCCAAACCGAACUCCUAGUUCAGAUGAAAAGGAAUUCAACGGUGACAGGGUCCUAAUUAUUUGAAAUCAGAAAUGAUUAAUUGUCUUCUUAGGCACAUAUAUAAUAUACCUUACCAAAAGAAAAUGUAGGAGAGAGAGAAAGCACUGUAAAAUUUAAAGAAGCAUCUCAAUUUUCAUACUUUCAAGCGUCAACUCAAUAUAGUCUAGAAAACUGCUAAAUAACUGACUUAUAGUCAAUCUAACAACUCUCAUCAUUGAGAACCUGCAGGUCAUAUUCUUCCAGAAGAAAGGAGAAUAUGUUAAAAUUGAAUUUAACAUGGCUGUAGAAGCCAAGAAUGAAGAUAUUUUAUAGACUGCAUAAACUAUAUGAUACAUCAUAUUCCACUUUUCAAGUUUUAUGUGCUCACCCAGAUGUCAAAAUAACCGAUAAGGAAAGAUCACCAAUGUCUCUAAAUACAACAGCUGGAUUCAAGCACCACAAACUUAAAGUAACCGUCCAUUUAGCACAAGCUUUUUCUGAAAUAAAAUAUAAACAUAACUUUUAUAAAAACUAUAUAUGUAAAAACAAACAAAAAAAAUUAAACUAUUUCAAACUAAAAAAAAGGCGGCUGAAAGUUAUGGUGGGCAGUGAAUUAAGAAGACUAAGCAACUGAUUACCAGGAUCUCUUUUAGUGUAGCGUUGUAAUGCAAGCUGGUAGUCAGACAUGUGGCAACCAUUUCUUGAGAAGAAAUAUGUCAAAGAAGAGAAUAAUCCUGCAUUGUAUAAAUUGGUCAAUGUUAAAAGUUUGGUAUAAAAACAAAGCAAAUGUUGCACACGGUAGUCUCUUACCUUCCAGUGUUAACACUGACAGACCACUCAAAUGUGCAUCAUCUGACACCGUAUAUGAAGCUGCUUUAGUAGCCUUAAACAAGCAUAUGGUGAAACUUUAAGAUAAUGAGAGCAAAAAGAAAGGUCCCUCACAUAACUCAAAGAACCCAACCGAAUCAGGAUACCUUUGUUGCACAUUCGAGUAAAAUGGGGAAGCAUUGUUGAGUUAUAUUAGCUUCUUGGAGCUCCCUUUGAGCAUGAUUGCCAGUCCAACUACAACAUUAAUAAACGUAGAAUAGGAUAUCUCAUAGACGGAUGUUGUCAAACUGAUAUCAACCACUAGAGAGGUCGAAUGCACCAUUUUUAGAAAAGAAUAAGUCAGAAUGCAUGUUUAUUGAAGGACUCAAAGUGUGAAAAGAAACACAUUUAAUCUGAAAUCUAUACCCAAAAUGUUUUAAAUGAUAAUCUACAUCAAGAAAAUCAGUUUAAAUCAAUUUCUUCCUUGGAUCUAAGAAUUUGGAAUAAGAAAAAGUGAAUUAUAUGAUAUUAUGUUUUAAAUACACCAAUAUGAUGCAAAGAAAAACUAUAUGCAACUAAGAAAUUAAAUGCUACAGCAAAACCUGUAAAAUUUUCUUUCUUAACUCACCAGGUGACAUAAUGCUGAAACUCGCGCUCCUGCAAUGUGGUCUUCCUUCGGUCAAUCCAACUUUUGAGAUCCUAAAAGUUCAGUUAGACUUCUAAAUAUCAAAAGAUCUUUUGAGAUGUUUGCAAAUAAUUAUAAGUAAUUAUACUAAUUACCUGUGUCAUUUCAUACAGAGGCUGGUAAACCAAAUAAUUAAUAAAACAUAGUUGCUCUAACUCCAUCUGCAAUUCUUUGAUAGAUGUGAAAUGCAAGCCAUGAGAUAUUGUUUUUCUCAACUCGUCAAACAAAAUAGUAUGAUUUCAUUGACCUACUAUUUAAAGUAUCCUCUUCAAUAUCGACACUACCACCAUGACGUGCAAUAUCCUCUAUAUUGCUGAAAAGUGAAAACAGAAUAAACUAAUUAAAUGUCUGCACAUGCUACCCAUCUCAUGAACUUACCAUCAAACUAAAGUAAAAGAAAACAUGUAAUGUAUGGAUGCUAGUACACAUACUGGGCUUCAUCAAAGAUCACAAUCGCAUCCUUAACAUCUACACCAAUUGCUCUUCGUAUAACUGGAUUGAUAAUAUAGCUAUAUGGGCAAAACACCAGCUGUGCGUUGUAUGCCAUAGAGCGAGCUGCAUAAUAUGAACAACCUAAAGAGGAUAAAGAAAUUAAGUUAAAUAUGUGAUGACAACAUGAGACAUGUUAAACACCUAAAAGAUCAAGGAUUAACCUUUUACAGCUUCUCCAGUUUUCACCAAAUCUUGAAUGUCAUGAACCUCAUGACGUCCUCCUUUCUGAAGAGUUGGAUGACAUUUAACCUUGUUUCCGUUUCUUUUAGAGAAAUGAAAAGUAUUUAUCUUCCUUUGUUGAUUAAUUUAAGUUAAGUAAUAAUUGAGAGAAAUAAAUUGAUGAAGAAAUGGGAUAAAGAUAACUCACUUAAAUUCACUGCAUCCUGCAUCUUGAUCCUUCAAAAGUAGUUUGCUGGUAGAUUACAACAAAUAUUACAUUGGAAAGGAGAAUAUCAAAUGAAUUAACUGGAAAAAGCAAACAAAGAAAGAAAAGAUGCCUUUGAGAGAAAUAUGCACCAUUUUUCAUCUAAAUUAUCUUUCCCUCGUACACGAGGAUUUGUGCAUAGAUGUUUCCUUGACGCCUGAUGAUAAAAAGGGGUUAGUAAGACAACAGUCCAGUAUAACCUAACAAGAACCACCCAGAAAUGUAUUGCAGUUAAACCAUAUCUGACAGGAGAGGAAGCCAGUGGAUUCUUACAACCAAAGUCAGCUAAUUCAAGUUCUCAAAUUCCUUCAAUGCAUAAUCUCAUACAAUACGUACACACGCACACACGUGUUAAAGAGGUGACAUACCAACACUGCCAUUGGCACUCGAUAGGCAGUUUUCCUAUACUCACGGAUCACCUGUGAUAUCUGUGAAUGUGUCCUCCUUGAAUAAAGAAAAUGUAUAGCAUUAGCAUCAAAUGUAAAUGAGAAAGACGAUUUGAAAAGAAAAAAAUCCAAGCCCUUGUUUCAAAGUCCAGUAAGUUGGAACUAACGAGGAGUAGUAAAUGGUCGGGGCUGUUUUUUUCUUCCGAAUUUUGUUGUUUGGCCCUGGAAGAGAUGACUCUGUAUCUGUAGACACUAGAGAACCCUUAAUAUUCCUCAGAAGAAGUUACUGGUCCAUAAAACACAAAGCAUAAAAAAGCAAAUACGUAUAUAUAUUUAAAUUUUUUUUUUAAAAAAAAAGUGAGCAAUGUUACUUUAUUGUUAGCUGACGUCCUUCCAUCAGUAGAAAUUUCAGUACAAAUGAGAAAGAGCCGCAUGUAAAACAAAAGCUUGCCAUCAUCCGCAUUCCACAAUAGCUAUUUUUCAUUAAGCGUUUGAAAGAUGAUAUUCCAUAGUGAAUAGAAGAAAAACAAUUUGUUCCAACCUCUGGGUGCCCACGUAUUAUUUCACUCUAUCUCAACGUUAUUCGUCCAUAAAAAGAAAAAAGAAAAAACCAACCAUCUUCAGAUCAAAUUAACCGUCGAAAAAGUUAACAGUUCAAGAUACUUGACAGUUUUUGUUGCAAGCUAUGCGCAACGAAAAUAUAUGUCGUCCAAAGCUACCCUAAAUACAUCCUCACGAUAAACAGUAAACCAUAAACCAAUUUUUUCUACGUCUCUACCUGACCACCUAAUCGAAUUCGUGCGUUCGAUAUGUUCGGAUGAACAGGGUAAGGACAUGCACACUUACUUGACGGCUGCACUUCGGGAAUAAAUCCACCGCCAAAACCGAGAGGAUUCGUGGCAGCCUCUGGAGCAGGCCUCGUGUGACAGAAAUUAGCAUCCUGAUUCUUUAUCUUGAAAUUCUUCUGCCAAGCAAGACUAGAGCAGAGAAGUGAAAGUGACUUCCCGGUUCCAGUCGGAGAUUCCAGCAACGCGUGGCAAUGGCCCUCUCGCUGAGCUCGAUCAAGGGUGGAUAUAACUCUGUCCAUGAACUCCAGCUGCGAACCGUAUGGUCGGAAUGGAAAUUCCACUUGGACGCCACCAAUCCGGUACACAUUCUUCUUAAGCCGAUAAGUUCGGUUGGGCUUGGAUUUAGGCUUCCUCCCCCCUUUUGCAUAGACCAUUUUGGCAGUAUUACACAGAACUUUUCGAGUGGGGUUAUUCGAACUCAUUUUGAGCUACCUAGCUUGGGGAACUACACGAUCGACAGUGGAGUUGUGUGCUCGGUUCGAUUUGAUGGUGGUGGUUUCUUGAAAAGCUUUGGCGGGAAAGGUGAGGGCUUAUCGUACUUGAAAUUGGCGGUAGACAGUAUAAUUAGUUCAUCUUGCAAUGAACGGUGAGGCUCUUGUUUGAAAAGACUCUUCUGUCCUUUGUGGCCAACGGCCGUAAAGGUUACCGUUUAGGCCGAAUUGAAAUCGAUAUUUUUUAAUAUCGAUACUUUCAUAAUAUUCACCUAAAAAAUAGCAAAUUAAAUUAAAAUAUUUACCGGCUACAACAAAAAAAAUUAUUAUGUUGGUGAUAGUCUUCUAUUACUAUAGCAUAUUAAUGACUAUCGAUGAUAUAAUUUGUUAUCGUUUGUAAAUAUUUUGUAAAAUCUACUUAUUUUUUUAAAAAGAAAUUAAAAGAUAUUCGAUUUUAUAUUAUUAUUCCAUUUUUUUAAUGGGCGUGCUUGACAUUUACACAUGCAAUUAUAAGAUAAUUGUGAUAGAAAAUUGGUAUAAUCGUAAUAAAAAUUCAUUGGUAAAUCAAUCAUAGUCAAUUAUAAUCAUAAAUGAAGUUAUAUUUAUUAAUUUGACCGUGUUUAUCUAAAAAUAUGAACUUUGUCAAUUUUAAUACUACCAUUGUGGUUUGGGUCAUAGUUAACCCAAACUAUAUCGAAAGCGAUGUUAAUAAACAAAAAAAUUUAUCUUGAAAUGUAAUGAUAGUGGUAAUCAUAAACUCAAAUCAUAACAAUAACAGUAAUGAUAAUAGUAUGACGUAAUUUUUCGAACGCAAUUGAAUUAAUCACUGUUUGUUUAUCAACUAGGUUGCAACUUUUGCUUACAAAUUUGGAUGAACCUCGUGUGUUAGUACACGUGCAUAACAUAAGUAAACAACACCAUACGUAAUUACAUGAGACUCACCUUUUAAUUUUAUCAUUCAUUUGUUUCCAUUGGAUUGGGUAAACGUGGCCUAUACGUGGUUUUACUUUAUAAAAACCAUGAUUACGAAUGAUUGAAUGAAGUUUUGUCAACGUGUUAUAACAAAUUUUAUCCAAACUCUAUACUAAUAUUGAUAUUUCUAUCAAAUUGGAGCCUUGGUUUUUUAACCUUAAUUAUACACUUUACAACUUUGCAGUUAGGUAUUGCUGUUAGUUUUAUCUUAGUCUCCUUUUCGUCUUCUCCAUCCCUUCGAGACCUUCCUGCUUUUAUUUGAUUCUUACAGUUGAGUUAAAUUUAGCUUCAAAUGUUGUUGUGUUAAUUAAGAGUAGUAUGAGACAUUUUAUUUUUGUUAAAAUUGUAACUAGGUCGAUUCAAACAUCAACAAAUUUCUUACUUGUAUAUAUAUAAUUUUGUUUCACCGUUCACAUAUAUCAACUAAUUGAAGUUAUAAGUUAUAACAUCCAUACUAUGUACUAAUAAAAAAACAAGUGGACACAUGUAUAUAAAUAUUUCAUAUCUAAAAGCAUAUAUGGACGAAUAUCAAAUAUCCAACCAAAACCCCAUAUACGUGAUAACACAUUCAUCACGUAAGCCUAUUAACAAUACACUUCUAUAAUUGAUAAAAUGAUAUGAUCAAACUUAUGGGAAGCAAAGUCAAAUUGAAGUUAUGUAAUUGUUAGCAAUAAUCCAACUCUAUUUAAAUUGUGAGAGGACUAUUUAAAGUAUAUAUUUUUAUUAAAUUAUUUAAUUUUGUUAUUGUUGAUCUAUUGUUUUCUAAUGUUUCGAAAAAUGAUCGUAGAUCGAAUAGAUACUAUAUCGAUUCCUAAAAUCCAUAUCUUAUUCUAUCUUGGUCAUGAACUUUUAGAAGUAUAUGUUUUGGUCAUUAACUCAUAAAAAUAACAUAUUUUGCUAUUUGUCGUUAAUACUCUAUUAAAUCUCUAAUAAAAUGGUGAAGUGACUUUUAUAUUUUAACGAUUAAAAUAUCAAAUAAAAUAAUUACUAAUAAUUAAGGUUUAAACUUUUAGUCCGAUGCUAUAUGAUAAAAGGACGAUGAUCUGAUCGUCACCACCAUCAUGAGUCAUUUUCAUUAUACUUUACUUUUUCGAUUUAUAUGUUUGACAUAAGUUUUGUUAAUAUUUUAAAGGCUAAAGUCAUUUUCAUUAUUAUUUGUUUUUUUUGCUGAUCUAUUUUUUUUAUUAUUAUUUCGAAAAGUUAAUAUAAAUCGUAAAUUUGUUAAUAUAUUUACGAAUUUUGGUCGAUUCCGGUGAUAAACUUUAUUCAACGGCGGUACUGAACCCGCCGUCAUCACCGUUAAGCAGUUCACACCAGGCGAAAGUCCAAUCGUCGUUUUGCCUCACCUCCUUGAGCCACUCCUAUACUUAUCUAUCUGGCUUCCAGCGCCGAUAAAUCGAUACCUUCUAUGGCAUUCGGCGCUUCCCGGCGUCUUAUUCCCUAUCAACUCAGAGCCUGCUUUUUGGGGCUUAUUGCCAGUGGCAGGUAUCACUAUCCCUUAAUCCACUCGCCGUCGCCGGCUUUAUCAUACUUGUUUUCAACCCUAGAUGAACCAUCAAAUCUAUUUGAUGAUGGUCUUUCGGGUAAUGGGGAUCGAAAUCAACGCUGCAUAGACGAGCGAUUCGUUAUCAGUGAACUUUCUGAUCUUCUACUAGUUAAUCCUUAUGGUUCGGUUUAUAACACUCUCAAAGAGAAUUCCAUUGAGAAACAGAUGCCAGUUAGGGCAGUUGAUGGAUUCUUGCUUCCAGAAGAGAAAUUGCGAGGUGUUUUCCUUCAAAAACUGAAUGGUAAAACCGCAAUUGAGCAUGCAUUAGCUAAUACUGAUGUGAUUUUGAGUCAAGAUGUUGUCAGCAAAGUAUUAAACACUGGGAGUUUAGGUAGCGAAGCAAUGGUUACCUUCUUUUAUUGGGCUAUUAAACAGCCGUCGAUACCUAAAGAUGCUUCUAGUUACAACAUAAUUCUUAAAGCUUUAGGUAGAAGGGGUUUUUUUGACUCCAUGAUGGAUGUUUUGUACAACAUGACACGGGAGGGAGUGGAGGCUACAUUGGAAAUGGUCUCCAUUGUAGUAGACAGUCUGGUCAAGGGUCACCAAGUUUCUAAGGCACUUCAAUUUUUCAGAAACUUGAAAGAAAUUGGGUUGAAAUGUGAUACUGAAACCUUGAACAUUCUUCUACAAUGCAUGUGUCGACGAUCCCACGUUGGUGCUGCAAACUCCUUCUUUAAUUUAACCAAGGGGAAUAUCCCUUUCAAUGUCAUGACAUAUAACAUUGUAAUUGGUGGAUGGUCAAGAUACGGUAGGCACGGUGAAGUUGAGCAAAUGUUGAAAGCAAUGGAACUUGAUGGAUUUUCUCCAGACUGUCUGACCCACACCUAUCUUAUUGAGUGUCUUGGCAGAGCUAAUCAGAUUGAUGAUGCUGUCAAGAUUUUUGAUAAAAUGGAUGAAAACGGCUGUACACCAGAUGUUGAUGCUUACAAUGCAAUGAUCUCCAACUUUAUAUGUAUAGGUGAUUUUGAUCAAUGCCUGACCUAUUACGAGCGUAUGUUGAGCAACAGAUGUGAACCUGACAUGAACACCUAUUCGAAUUUGAUUACUGGCUUUCUCAAGGCCAAGAAAGUAGCCGAUGCACUAGAAAUGUUUGAUGAAAUGGUGGCAAGAAUAAUUCCCACUACGGGGGCAAUAACAUCCUUUAUUCAACUUAGCUGUAGUUAUGGUCCUCCACACGCAGCUAUGUUAAUCUACAAGAAAGCAAGAAAAGUUGGAUGUAGGAUAUCCAAGAAUGCAUACAAAUUGUUGCUAAUGCGGCUUUCUUUGUUUGGUAAAUUUGGCAUGCUAUUAAAUAUAUGGAAUGAGAUGCAAGAAAGUGGUUAUGAUCCUGAUGUGGAGACUUAUGAGCAUGCCAUUGACUGUCUCUGUAAAACAGGGCAGCUUGAAAAUGCUGUACUCGUCAUGGAGGAAUGUUUACGUCAGGGUUUCUUCCCAAGUAGGCGAACACGUAGUAAGCUUAAUAACAAACUAUUGGCCUGUAAUAGGACAGAGAUGGCAUAUAAACUCUGGUUGAAAAUCAAAGUUGCUCGUCAUCAGGAAAAUCUGCAAAGAUGUUGGCGUGCCAAGGGAUGGCAUUAUUGAACUUUCAGGUCAUAUCAAUUACAAACAUGUCUUUUUCUUCUAUUGUUUCGGUCCUUUGAAGGUUAGUAAUAUUUCACAGAAGUCAUUCUACUAAUGUGUGCAGGUCGUACUUAGGAUGUUUUAUAGUUGUUGACUGCUUACUUUUUUUUUUUGUUACAUAUACGAGAGUGUCUAUGAAAUUUCUCGGGCUUCCAUUAAGGUAAAUCUACAAAAAAGUGGACUUGGGCUUUGUUUAUUGAAUCUGGAUUGCAAAAUGGAAGAAUUCUUAUCUUUACAUCACAUUUAUUCUAUUUGCAUUGACUUGAGUCCUGUGAGCCCUGUUUCUUAUGUUUUGUUCGUCGGGAUUCUCCGACUCUUUUUAUCGAAAUGAAGGAUGAAAGUUAGUUAAAUGGGGUGCAGGGAAGUUUUUUUCACUGGGUUUCUUAUGUUACUAUUCUAUUUGCUCUGUUUCCUUGUUUAUUACGUUUCGUUUAUCAAGGUUUUCAUUUAUUCAAUUAGUUCUGACAUUGCAGGGCCGUUGUUAAUGCAUAUGGAGCUUCAUCUGAUGCCAACGGCCACAUCUCGGGUGACAUGUCAGACCACUUUGGUCAUUCAUUUAGUUACGGAUGUACACGCCUUUGAUAAGAAUGUUUUUCUACCUCAAGUUGACCACAACCGCAACAUAAAGGACUGAUGUGCUGAGGUGCCCACCUUAAGCUUUCUUAGUAGGAUUUAAACCAUGUUUCAAAUAUGGAUCAACCUACUUGAUUAUAUGCUUCUCAAUCCUAGCCAAUGCCAGCCACCCAUGAAUCAAUGAGGCCUAGGUAUGUACUGGCAAGUGGUAAUGAACAUAACUAGAAUGACGGCAUUCUUGUCAAGAUGUAUCUGGAUAUUUUCUAGUGAACCCAACCCAGCACAUUGUCACGUAAAAUCAUUUCUAGUAGGUAUGUACAUACGUUAGAGUAGCUUCAGAAUCAUUUUAAUGUAGAAAUAAGCACUAGCAUCCAUCUUUGAACUGCAAGUUUUUCCCACUUUUUUCAGGUUUCUCUAUCAAGUGGACCAUACCCAUUGAAAGAUAUGGGCAAUAACUUAGUUUGAAGAAUAACCAUCCAAGGCAGGGAUUAAUAACUUGAGUAAAAGCACUUUCCACUGAAAGUACGAGUAGAGUCUUCAAGUAAAGCUAAGUCAGAAGCUGUCGGCGAGGUUCACAUCUGCAAGAAAAAAGAGAAGAGAGCAAGUAGACAGAGAAGAAGACAAUGUCCACAAUCAUUAAUUUAACCCAGAGGAGCACCGGAACCAUCUAAUUUUCUUGUAAAUUGUUGCGCAAAAAUAAAAUUUCAAGUUUGCUUAUAUAAAUAAAUAAACAACAAUGUUAUCCAUCAACAACGUCGUUAUUGAAACAGAUGAUUUUCGCAAGGAUUGUUUUUAUUCUUUUUUCUUUUAUGAGUGAAUCCUUUUUUGCUUUCUAUUUGAUUGAAGAAUGUAUUUCUAUAUUACGUUUGUGGUUUUCUAAGGAAAUAACCGUUGGAACUAAACUAAUAUUUUCACGAAACUUUAUCAAUUGGAAAAAGGAUUGUUGAUAUAUGGAGCAUAGCUUAUGACAAUAAUUAAAAAGUUCGUACAUUUCAAAUAAAUAUAAAAAGUAGUAAAUUUGACUAAAUAUUGGCAAUUUGACAGAAUAAUUACCAGCCAAAUUUUAGAUUCUAAAAAGAAGAAAUAUGUGAUAUAAUAAUUCUCACAAAGUAAAAGAAAAAAAGAAAAAACUCUCAUGUAUGUAUAUAUAUUAUAUAUAUAUAUAUAUAUAUAUAUAUAUAUAUAUAUAUAUAUAUAUAUAUAUAUAUAUAUAUAUAUAUAUAUAUUAUAUAUAUAUAUAUAUAUAUUAAUUUUCCAUUUUAGAGAAAAUAAAUGAAUGAAAGAUGUAAUAUUACUUAUUACCGGUUGCUAAGACAGCGAGAUUGAGAGAGGAAUUUAGUGUGUAGAAAUGGUUAUGGUUACCUGAAUUUUCCUUUCAUUUUUUAUUCCUUUCCUUUGUUGUUGUUCGGUAUAUUGGCAAUCGGCUUCUUGUCUUCUCCCACUUCUCCACCUUCGCUCGAUCCCUCGCUACAGACCACACCUCAUCCCUCUCAACGAGGACUCCAAUUUCUCAACAGACCUACCAUCUCAUCAUUUCUCUGCCUUCCUUCUCACUGCUAUGGUUGAAUUGUCUGUUCUCCACUGGGAUCAUAGUUUCAUUACUGCCUACGGGGAUUCUCUGAAGGAAGUCUGAUCUACUAUUUGUUCUACCAGCGGGAUCCAAUCCAGGGGGGGAGGGGACUAAUAUGGAUCAGUUCGACUUAUUCUUUAGGAGAGCCGAUUUGGAUGGUGAUGGGAGGAUUAGUGGAGCUGAAGCUGUUUCUUUCUUUCAGGGCUCCAAUUUGCCUAAAAAUGUUCUUGCGCAGGUUCCUUUUUUUGCCUUUUCCUCCCUCUCUCACCUUUUCUUCUUUGGAUUUCUCGUGCGUUGUUUGUCUUAGAUCAAUGGCGUCCAUGUACUUGGAUUAGGUUGCGAAUUCGAAAUCCAUAAGUUGCUCGCUUUUCACUUCAAUACUUUGUUUCUCGGUAUCAUAAAUUGAGGUGCCUGCGCUUCGUGGAAGAGUAUGUUUAUGAAUUAGGUGCUUGCCAGUAUAUUUUAGGAAAGUUCUGGUGUGUAAUUUCCUACCUAGAGUUUUUCGUUUAAGUUCUGGUGUCUAAUUUCCUACCUAGAGUUUUUCGUUUAAGUUCUGGUGUCUAAUUUCCUACCUAGAGUUUUUCGUUUGGUGUUUUCUUUAUAUGUAUCUGUUUUGAAAUGUAAUAUUUAGAUAUAGGUCGUCACGCAUUCCACCGUUAGACCUAUGGUUGAAAUCUAUAACUUCCUCAUGUGAUUGAAUUGACAAUCUUCGCGUGCUUUGUUUUUCUGAUAUGGUCAACGGAUGCUGCUUUAGUCUGGUUGUACAAUACAAGCUUUUACAAUCUUGCGUUGUGUAGGUAUUCUGUGUCUCCACUGGUACAUAUCAUCUGUAAUGUGUUGAAGCUAUUAUGUUAAGAGGCUCGCUCUUUUACUCGAUCCUAUAAUUAUAUUCAUUGCCGACUGGCACCAUUUGAUAAGAAAUGAUAGCAUGCUUACAAAUCUGUCAUUGUGUGAACGGUUGUGCCAAUCAAGGUUAUCUUCUCUACUUGCAGAUAUGGAUGCAUGCUGAUCAGAGAAAAACAGGUUUUCUUGGUAGACCGGAAUUUUAUAAUGCUCUCAGACUUGUGACUGUUGCUCAAAGUAAGCGAGAGCUAACACCUGAAAUUGUAAAGGCAGCACUAUAUGGUCCUGCUGCUGCGAAAAUCCCCCCACCAAAGAUUGAUCUGCAGGCUCUAUCUGCCCCUCAAUCAACUUCAGUGCCUGCUGCAUCUCCUCCACAGAUGAGUAUACCUGCACCAACAGGAUCUCAAAAUUUUGGCUUUAGAGGACAAGGGGUUCCAAAUGUGGGUGCGAACCAGCAGUAUGUAUCAGCCCAGCCAAACCCUUCCAUGAGGUUACCUCAAGCCACACCUGGUGGUGUUGCUUCCAAUAUGCAACUGGUUGUUUCUUCUGAACCUUCUGGAGGAGGAAAUCUACUGGGCUCAAAUCUUUCAAACCCAAAUGAUUGGCUCAAUGGAAGGCCAGGUGGGGUCCCUGCUGCUGGGCCUAGAGGAGUCAGUCCUUCCCUGCCUUCCCCAGCUACGUCGUUAUCUCCAGCUUUAAUGACUUCGCAGCCUAUGCCUAAUGAUAGAGCACCAGCUGUUACUGGUAAUGGAUUUGCUUCUAAGUCAGCAUUUGGUGCUGACAUGUUUUCUGUUACUCCAUCUCCACCUAGACCAGAAUCUUCUGGAUUCAACAAUGCAGCUAAUAGUAGUAUUGGUCCAUCAGCGAUUGUUCCAGUUUCCAGUGUAUCCCAACCUUUAAGUAAGUCCACAUCAUUGGAGUCAUUGCAGAGUGCAUUUGUUUCAAGACCGUUAGCUGGUUCACAGUUUCAGCUUUCUCAGUCAGCACCGGAACCUAACAAGGAGGUUCGAGCAACAGGUCCAUCGCCACUUAUAUCUUCUGGGAUCACAACUGGAGCCAGAAACUCUACUUCUGAAAAUGCACAGUUUACUUGGCCAAAAAUGAAACCAACUGAUGUUCAGAAGUACACAAAAGUUUUUAUGGAAGUAGACACUGACAGAGAUGGCAGAAUUACCGGUGACCAGGCACGGAAUCUAUUUUUAAGUUGGAGGUUACCUAGAGGUAUAUACUCUCUCAAUUCUUUUAUUUUUAAUUUAAAAUUUUUAAAUCUAUACUGUCAUUUAAGAUUGUAGUUGAAGCACGUGUUACUCGCUUUCAAGUAUCAAUCAAUUUAGUGUGGUUUUGGCCUUUGGGGGAUUUAGAGUAUAUUGUUAAUGUCAAAGGCAUGGCAUCGUUUCCUUUUGAUGGCUUAUCUCUGAAGUGGGCAUUUAGUUUAUUGUUCUUUCUUUAUUAUUAAUCCUUUGAGAUUCUUUAUUUUAAUCCAUUUUUAGACCAUGUAAGGAACACGUUGAAUAAAGCUUGAACAUUGUUAUUACUUCCAUAUGAUUUUCGUGAAACCAUUGUGGAGAGCCUUUAAGCCAAUCCGUUUUUCUCCAUCCUGGGUAAUAACUGUCCAACAUUCCAUUUGUCAGAAAAAUGGGCUUUGGGUAACUCAGUCUGUAUUGGAGCUUGUCUUCUUAUUGUCAGAAUUCAGGUCAUAUUUGGACAAGUACUAGUUUUCUAAAGAGCUCAUCAAGUUACAUGCCACUAGUUCUUAAACACAAUAUUGGCAUAGAACGCUAAGUUUCAUAUGGAUUUUUGGAUCCCCAGCUUCAAAAUGAAGACAGUGGAGGUAUAGUAUGAGAUUCUUGCUAUUUGGAACUUAGGCCGUAGAAGAAACCUUAAUCUGAUGAGGAAUUGAAAAAUGGACUCAGUUACUUCCCUCAAUUGAUGAUCAUUAGACUAUGCAUAGGGAGGGUUCCAGUUUUGGAGCUAAAAUUUCUCUUAAUUCAUGAAGCCAAUGAAAUCUGUCUUAAAGAGGAAAGAAGUAAAAAAAAGAAAGCCAAUGUUGGUUGGUUUAUCCUUCCUCGAUGUUCAGUUUGGAAUUUUCUUUUUCAAAGCAUAUUUGGGAUGACUUUAUCAUUGACUUCAUACUUCCUUGAGAAAAAGAGUCUUCUGGGGGAUAUUGGUGGCUGUGUUCUUUGGGGCUAUUUGAUCGAAAGGAUAGAACAAACUUUUGAGAUAUUCAGCAAAAAACACUUGAAAGAAACCUUCUGCUUGUGUUUAUAGAUGGCCUGCGUGUUCCUAUGGUUUUUCUAUUAUUUCUCUUUUAUCCUCGUUCUCCUAUUCUGGUACUACAUGGAAAAAGUGGUAAAUGAACAUAUAUAUGCUCAAUGAAUAUGUAUUGAAGGUCUGCUAGAAGUUUAAAGGUUUUAUGAUUAUUUUCACCUUGAUACAAUAAUAUUUGAUAAUGCCAUUUAUUCUACUUUUUUUUUAUAAAAAAAUAGGCAACUCCUUUUGCAUAUUCACAAUUUGAGUCUUUGGAAACAUAUUUGCUUUCUAACGUAAUGCAAGGUAGAGAGUUUUAGUUUAAGAAAUUGACUUGGUACUUUUCUGCAAUCCCUAGGAAGUUAUGCAUGCCCAUUUAUUUUUUCCUUGUUUCACUGAAGCUCUUGUAAAGUUUCUUUAAUGAUUGAUGAAUGUUCUUUUUUUUAAAUGGAGACAAACGAUUGAUGAAUUUUCUUUUAUUUUAUAAUAUAUACUGAAGCCAUGUUUCAUAUUCUCAGAGGUCUUGAAGCAGGUGUGGGACUUAUCUGAUCAAGACAAUGACAGCAUGCUUUCUCUCAAAGAGUUUUGUUUUGCCUUAUAUCUAAUGGAACGUUACAGGGAAGGACGGCCACUUCCAGCUGCACUUCCAAAUAAUGUUAUGUUUGAUGAAACUCUGCUGUCCAUGACAGGACAAUCUAACGUUGUCCAUCCAAAUGCAGCUUGGAGUCCACGUCCUGGUACUUACCAAAGUUGUCAAUUGCACUUAUUUUCUUUUGGCCUCUUCUCUCUCUCUCUCUCUCUCUCUCUCUCUCUCUCUCUGCUCUAACUUUUCCUUUGUUGAAAUUAGGAUUUGGACAGCAGCAACCUCAGGUCACUGCUCGGUCAAUGGCACCAACUGCAGGAUUGAGACCGCCAACAAAUAUACCUGCUUCAAAAGCUGAUGGUGCUAAACUAUCCAAUGAGCAGAAAUCAAGGGCUCCGGUGUUGGAAGAUUCAUUUCUGGACCAGUCUGAGAAGGCUCAAGAUGCUGCAGCAUCUGAGAAAAAGGCAUUUCCUUAUAUCUAUAUGUCAACUUUCACAAAUUGUUUUGGAGAGGACCUAGUAUCUACUUAUUAUGAAUGUGGAAUUCUUUUACUCCUCAUAAAUUCUCCCCAUAUAUCCUGUUAACUGUACACGUUUCUUUCUUAUUUUCCUUGUGAAUUCAAGGUUGGUAUAUUUUCACCUGAUAUGCAAUAUUGUUCCCUCUAAUGUUUCAUGUUUCAUCCUUGAUAGGUUGGAGAAACUGCGAAUGUUAUUUUGGAUUCGAAAGAAAAGAUUGAAUAUUAUCGCACAAUGAUGCAGGAACUUGUAAGUACUCUUUAUUGUUCUUUGCUUUCAGUUUCUUAAUAGUAUCUGUGCAACAUACAAUUCCAAGUCUAAGUUAAUUCUACAAGCUAUACACGAAUUUUUGAACUUUUUAUUGUGUGCCAAUAAUGGUUACUCAUAUGCUAGAAUAAUUGUCGUACAGUAGUCGUUAUCUCUGUAUGAGCUGACAACUAGAUCUGAUCAGUUAAUUUUAAAAGGUGCAAGUUCCUGAUUAAAUUUGGUUUAAUAAAUACUUUCUUUCUAAGCACGGCCCCCAAUCUGUGACUGACUAUAGUCACUUAAUCAUGAACCCCUCAAUCCACGUGGCAUUUCUAUGUUUGAAUAAUGGAAAUUUUGUUGGGUAUGUUAACGUUUUUCUAUGCCAAAACUGAGUUAAAUUGCAUUUCUGGAACCUUUUAUUCACCCCUCUACUUAUCGACUCACUAUCAUGCAAACUGCUUAGUGCUCACUUGUAUGAUUAUUAUAACCGUCCUUUUUGUUCAUAAAUGGAAAUAGUUUAGGAGAAUAGAAACGGUUUUACUGCUUAGUUUUCUGUUUUUGGAAAACAAGUUUUCAUUAGAAAGAGAGGAUAAUACAAAAAAGUGGGAAGGCCAAGACGAUCAACCAACUCAACUACAAAUGAUGUGCGAAUACUCGAAACAAUAACAAAAAGUUCCUAUAUAAGAAGAAAAUACUGUCCAACUGUUUAUCGGUCGCUACAUACAUUUAAAAAAAGCCUGUUUCUUCCGCACUAAGUCUACCAAAAAAUAGCUAACAGACAAAGAUCCACAAAACUCUCACUUUGACCUUGAAUUUCUGAUUUGUAACCAAUGGAAGGCAGAUGUCAAUGAUGCUAGGGAGGCAGCACUGAUGACAUUUGAAGUAAAAAUCACUGUACCAAGUAUAUAUAUGUGUACUUUGAGAAGAAACAAAGAAGCUGUAUUAAACAAAACAAAAACAAAAAAAAAAAAGAAGAAGA
rnacentral:lncRNA from 1 species